CCGGGCUGCGGCGCCCGCCGGGUCCCCCGCGACCCUCGAAGCGCAGCGCCACUCGCUACUGCCGCCGUCGCUGCCGCCGGCCCGGUGCGGCCCAGGCGUUUCCGGGUUCCCGCGGUCCCGUCUCCCAAUCGCUCCGGCUGCCGCCUCGGCCCGGGUGAACGCCGUUCCCGGCUCGGCUCUGCUGGUCCCAGCUUGGCACUUGCCAACUCCAUCCCCAAGACGAGGACUUCAGAGGCUCCGCGGGCGACCCCCGGUGCCGGCUUCACUGUCGUGUCCUUGCCUGGGGCAGUGCCUCCUGCUAUUUGUUUCCUAAAGGGACAUAGCGGACGGAGUGACUCCAGCGGCGUGCCUCUGCCGGACUGCCUGGUGGCGAAGGGCUGCCACUCAUUUUUCUGGAAGGCUUGUUCCGUUGGAAAUAACCGCUUCUCCCACUCCUGAUGCUGAACAGAGCCUAGAGCAGCGCCAUCAAAUUAGUAGGGUAGGAUUAUUCCUUUCCUCUUAACACUACGCCGCUAUGAAUUAAGCCCGUGUCUAUAUUGCAAAUGAUUAAAACUACGUCGGAGAAAGACAAACGGAGAAAGAGAGCAGAAAAACAAAAUUAAAUAACUGUAUUAGAGUAGAAUGACUGGCUUUAAAAUUUUGGCUCAGAUGGAAACGAAUCUGCCUGCAACGCAGGAGACCCAGGUUGGAUCCCUGGGUUGGGAAGAUCCUAUGGAGAAGGAAAUGUCAGUAUUCUUGCCUGGGAAAUCCCACGGACAGAAAAGCCUGGAGGGCCUACAGUGCAUGGGAGUUGCAGAGUCUGACACGACUUGAGCGACUAACACUCAUGAUCUUGAGAAAUUUCCUGGAUGGUGGAAUAUAUCUUAGAUUUUCAUGUUUGUUCUAAAUAUUUUGGAAGUAAAAUGUGCCUGAUGCAUAAUAAUAAUAAUAGCUAGGCACUAUUCUAAGAUUAAGAUACAGAGAGAAUAUAUAAUGAAUCUCUUCCUCCGUUUGUAAGAGGGAAAAGAUUUAAAAUAUUUUAGAAAUACUUCAGCAGGAAAAAUAUACCUUAUGACAUAAAUACAGGUUUUUUUUUAAGAGAAAAAGACUUUUUAGUCUGUUCAAAAAGUUUUAAAAUGAAAAGGAGAGAAGUGGAGGCAAUUAUUCAUUAGGAAAGAGUAACAUGGUGCUUUGGCCUCUUGGAAGAGGACGAAAGUCUAAACAGACAAAAACAACAAUGUAAACAGAGGGUUCAAUAUAUUUAUGACACCCACAACUGAUGUAAAGAUAUGGGUUGCCAAACUGAUGACCAAAAGGAAGUAAUGCUUUCAUUGACCUCUCCUAGCUUUACAAUUUGUACUUAGAUGCUAAUGUAGCGGAAACUAGUUUAGGUACCCCAUUAUGUUAGCCCUUAUUCUCUCUACCCAUUCAACCUAUAUAGCACAUGGUUGCACCUUAGUCCUAUCUGACUGACUGUGACAUCAUGGACUAUAGCCCCAUGGACUGUAGCUUGCCAGGCUCUUCUGUCCAUGGAAUU
rnacentral:lncRNA from 1 species